AUUGAACGCUGGCGGCAGGCCUAACACAUGCAAGUCGAACGGGUGGCGGACGGGUGAGUAAUGUCUGGGCAAGUGCCCGAUGGAGGGGGAUAACUACUGGAAACGGUAGCUACUACCGCAUACCACCGGUUGUGCCCAGAUGGGAUUAGCUAGUAGGUGGGGUAACGGCUCACCAAGGCGACGAUCCCUACCUGGUCUGAGAGGAUGACCGGCCACACUGGAACUGAGACACGGUCCAGACUCCUACGGGAGGCAGCAGUGGGGAAUAUUGGGCAAUGGGCGAAAGCCUGAUGCAGCCAUGCCGCGUGUGUGAAGAAGGCCUUCGGAUUGUAAAGUACUUUCAGCGGGGAGGCGUUACUCACAGAAGAAGCACCGGCUAACUCCGUGCCAGCAGCCGCGGUAAUUC
rnacentral:rRNA from 1 species